CCAUUAUAAACACUAUUAUUAAGAUAUAUAUAGAUGAAAUUGUUAUUCAUAAAUUUUUUACUAGGUUUUGUGCCUAUAAAGUCCCGUGUACAAGUAGUAAUCUGUAUUUUUGAACUAUGUACCUGUAGAGUCCCACGUACUAAGUAGGAAUUCGCAUUUUUGUGCUUAUACAGUCUCACUCACACACAAUAAUAAUUUGAUAUUGGAGUUUUCUGCUUCAUCAGCUGCGAAUCGGAUGAUAAUUACGUCCCAUUUCUUACACAAAUUUAUAUGCCCUAUUCACGUAGAAGCAGCCGAAAAGGUACAGGAAGUAAGCGGCUUGACUGGCGAGAAGGAUAUUCAAAAAUUUUGGGUAGUCGCAAGAUUUGAACAGUACUUGGAAGUUGUGCCAGAAAACGAU